UGGGGAAUAUUGGACAAUGGGCGCAAGCCUGAUCCAGCAAUGCCGCGUGAGUGAUGAAGGCCCUCGGGUUGUAAAGCUCUGUCGGGAGGGACGAAUAGGAUGGUGUAACGGCCAUUUCUGACGGUACCUCCAAAGGAAGCACCGGCUAACUCUGUGCCAGCAGCCGCGGUAAUACAGAGGGUGCAAGCGUUGUUCGGAAUUACUGGGCGUAAAGCGCGUGUAGGUGGUGACAUAAGUCGGAUGUGAAAGCCCUCAGCUUAACUGAGGAAGUGCACCCGAUACUGUGUGACUUGAGUGUUGGAGGGGAUGGCGGAAUUCCCGGUGUAGAGGUGAAAUUCGUAGAUAUCGGGAGGAACACCUGUGGCGAAGGCGGCCAUCUGGACAACAACUGACACUGAGACGCGAAAGCGUGGGUAGCAAACAGG
rnacentral:rRNA from 1 species